rnacentral:lncRNA from 1 species
AUGAGGCUGUGGCGUCCGCCGGCUGAGACUGAUCCCUUCAUGGAGACAGAGAAGGAAAAGACUGGGGAGCACCCCAGGAAGGACAGGAAGAGGAGGCAGGUUCCCAACCAGCUGGUCCGGGCGACAGAGCCGAGGAGAGCCUGUCCGGCUCUGGAGGACACGCAGCCCCAGGCCAAGAAAGCUCGCUUAUCUGCCAAUUGUGAGGUAACCCCUGGCCAACUGUGUGAAUUGCUGAAGUAUGCAGUUCUGGGCAAAUCCAUUGUGUCUAGACCCAGUUGGUGCCAAAUUUUUCAACAAAACCACCUGAACAAUGUGGUGGUUUUUAUUCUUCAAGGGAUAAGUCAGUUGCAUUUCUACAUGUUCUAUUUGGAGUUCAAAUUUCUGCGGAAGACAUUCAGACAUGUAAGUUAAGAAAACUAUAUUAGGGUCCUAUCCUGAGAUUAAUACAUGUAUCUGAGAGUAUGCUCCAUGGCAACCUAGCUGAACAAGUGACAGAGGAUAUAGAAAACACAAGAAAUAGAGUCAGCUCAAGCUGAAAUUAGAUUUGUCUUUAGUAAUCUAGGCAAAACACUUAUUUCCAAAUAUCUAGCUCCUGGGUUGAUAUUGCCCUGUUUUAUUUAAAGUGUGGUAUUUUUAGACAUUGUAAAAUUUCCAUAAAAUCUGUGUUUUUCUACCUCUUUUUAAAAAAUCAUAAGAUUGGACAUUCUUAGAACUUAUCUGGAGCUGAACAUCACUUGUAAUCUUGAGAAGAGGCAUGUCAUCUCCAUGUUCCCAUAGCCUCCUCCAUUCCCUAGUGCUGUUUUAUCCAUUUACUGUUAAAGGAAUUUGACAUAUUGGGCCCUAAUUUAAUUUCCCUUAGUCUUCAUUUUCUUUACUGCUUCCAUUUAUUGAACACCUUCUAUAUGCCAUUCACAAUAUUAAUUGUGCUGUGUACAUCACCUUAUCAAUGAGAGAUGAUUUUUUUUUUUGAGACAGGUUCUCACUAUGUAGACCCCUGUGGUCUCGAACUCACAGAAAUCCUCCUGCCUCAGGCUCCUGAGUGCUGGGAUUACAGGUGUGCGCCAAGGAGAGAUGAUUUUUAAAUCCCAUUUCAUGCAUAAGAAACUUAAAUUAUAGCUAGUCAAUGCUGGAGUUAGAAAUUAAGCCUAGGUGAGUAUGAGGCUGGAGCUCUCAAGCUCUUUUACCUGGUAUAUCUUCUGUCCUGAUUACUUGGCAUGCUGUACAAUGAAACAGUAGAUAUAAAAUGAUCUGAAAAAUAUAAUUUUCUAUAAUAUUUAUCCAUUUUACAAGACAUAAUGAGAGACAGUUAUUUUAUAAUGCAGACAGCUAAAGUGUAGACCUUUGAUAAUAAGUCCAGACUUUUCAGUACUUUGUUUUCAAGCAUUUUUGAAUGAAUCUAUUAAUAUAUUUUCAGAAAUUCUACUUGGGUCCUCCAUCAUCUAAUUUUCUAGCUGAUAUCAUUGGUCUGCAAAAGAAAACAACUGGAGAUCUGUCCAAGACCAGUAAAGGUAAGACUGUGACUGGUUUGAUCCUUUGCCCAUUGACUUUAUAGACAUGACUGGUUGAUGCUUUGCCCAUUUUUUUUUUCACUUUCAAAAAUUUAUUUGAAAAAGUAAAAGUGAAGAGUGAGGGAGAGAAAGCAGGGUGGGCUAUUGUGAGGAAACUACCAUAGCAAGCUCUUCUUGGUGUCUGUGUUCUUUUAUACUGUGCAAAUUUCAAGGAAACCCAUGAGAACUUCUGUGUAUGGAUCCUGAGAGGGAGUGAUGGAAUCCCAUGCCUCAGAUUAUUGUCAGGUUAGGCCGUCUCAUUGAAAACCUGCUCCAAUUCUCACGAGAAGUCCACUGCCCAUUGAUUUUUGUAGAUAAGGUCAUUAUCAGGUAUAUGAGUCAAGUUUAUUUAUUGUAAGCAACAAAAUUCAGUUCUGACUAACAUAAGCAGAAAAGCAAUUUUUUAAAAGGAAGAAUUAAUUGGCAGGUUCCCAGAAUAGUUAGCAGGAACCAUAGGCAGAGUUCAUGUCUCAGAAACCAUGUGGUAGCUAGGUGUAGUGUUGUACAUCUAUAAUUUCAGCAUUUUUUGCAAUCCAGUCUUUUGUCUCAGCAGCAUCUUUUAAUUUCCCACUUUUCCAUUAUUCCCCUCUCCUUCCAAUAGAUGCCUGUAUUUGACCUGUAGCUGUGUUUGGUUUGAUGUGUACUAUGUUUGUCUUUUUAUUUUACCUUUGAGUAAUAACAGUAUCUUUGAGUAAAUAAAAUAAUUAUUUUAGGUUCAAGUGAAGGUCUUGAGCUGUGAAAGACAAGGAAAAAGCAAUUUGACAUGACUGAAGAAUAUAUCUUGUUGGGGAUGCUGAGGGGACCAGGAGGAAGUGGUGGUGAGAAUUGAGGCUGGAGAGGCAAAUGAAGAGUACACACUACAGGCUUUGAAUGUAGAGCACAAAGACUGAAUUUUAUUCUGUAGGCAUUUAGGAGCCAGAGAGGC